rnacentral:misc_RNA from 1 species
AAUUCUCAACCUUCCAGCUUUUAUUAGCUUGGUUAGGCUUGGAUGUGGGGGUUGCAGGCUUCAUUAUUGAGGUCAGCUCUCCUUAAAUACAUUAGCGGAACUUUUGUGGACCGUCUAUUGGUGUGAUAAUUAUCUACGCCGUGGAUGUGAAGCAGCUUUAUAAAGUUCAGCUUCUAACUGUCCAUUGACUUGGACAAUUAUUUUUUGACA